UUUGUAAAGUGGUUCCUAGCUAGAGGAAAUGGGCCACUGGGGUUAUAUCUUUGAAUUUCAUACCAUGUCUGUAUCUACAUGUCCUUCUCUUAUCUAUACUUCCUGCAUAUCAUGAUACCUGCUCUGACACCCCACCCCUGAGGUGAUGGACUGAACCCUCAGAAAUCAUAAGCUAAAAUGAACCUCUUGUCAGCCAUUCUACCAUGGUGACAAAAGGGUAGCUAAUAUAUGUAGCUAAUGAGAUAUUAGCAGACAUGAAACAUGGUAGCUUGUAUUUUAAAGUACAGUGCCAAUUUGGUAUGCACUGCCUUAUGUUUCUUCUGUCAUCAUAAGAGAAACUACUGCUGGACACUUCUUGCCUCGUCAGCCUGCACUGAAUGAGAUGACAUACUGCUCCGAACAACCAACCCCAUAGCAAGUUAAGCCAGUGAGGUCUCACAGUUUGAAGCAGAGAGCAGUCUGUUAGAAGGCAGUGUAGGGCAUUCAAAGUCAGUCAACUCACUUACACAUAGUAUUAUUGUUUUUCAUGUGGCAGUAAUCCCCAUGCUCUUCCUCUAUGAGUGUCAUGCACUAAGUUCAAUCAGGGCUGCUCACAUGAUCAUGGGAAGGACUGAUGUUAUUUACUGUAACAUACGCAACCCAUCAAUAGCUACUUUGCUGAAGAAAGUGACACUUUCAAUCCAACCCACCAUUAAUUAUUACAAUCUUUCAGUGAUGGUCACAAGUCCCUCUUUUCUAUGUUGAAAUGUCAUAGCUACAGUGAGUUAAUAAGUGUCCUGUCUAAUAUCCAGAUGAAAUACUAGGUUAAAAUAGAUUUUUACCAAAAAUUGGUGUUUCUCAUUUAUUUUCCAUUAACUGAAUUUGUUCUUUGCCAGUUUCACAUAGGCAUAUAAUACAUUCUGAUUACUAUAAGGCACUACUCUCUCUUUUCCCCUCUAAUUUUUUUCAUUCUCCCGUUACAAAUCCUUUUUCCACAUUCAAAUCUAUACCUCUUGUUUUGUGGCCUGAUUUUAAUCAGGAUCAUCUGUCUGAACACAAGUUUAGAACUAUCCACUGCCAUUUGGUGAACUCAUCAGUAAGUACACAACUGAAGACAAUAACUGUCCAUCCUCUUCAGUCCUCCAGUAGCCAGCAGUUCAUCAGGGAAGAGUGGGGUCUCAUGAUCCCACUCUCCAAUCCCUGACUGACUGCUAACAGGCUCACUCUUGUGCAGGCCCAGUGCAGUCAACUACAACUGCUAUGAGAUCGUUGUAGUUGCUGUGUCAUACUGUGAAGAUUUCACAGCUCUUCUCCCUAACUGCAAGUUCUUACAUUUUUUUUCAACUCCUUCUUCUGUUAUACUCCUUGACACAUAGAAAGGGUGGUAUUAAUGUCUUUUGGGGGUGAAUACUACAGAAGAAGGAGAGGAAGGACUGUCAGAGCCAAAGGCGUCGAAGACACCACAAGAACACAGCCAACAGAAUCAUCUAAGCAGGAACCACAGAGAUUGAAGAGAUAAUCAAAGACCCUGUAUGGGUCUCACCUAGUUCCUCUGCAUCUAUGUUAUGGUUGAAUAGCCUUGUGUUCCUGUAGGACUCCUAACAGUGGGAGCAGGGGCUGUCUCUAACUCUUUUGCCUGCUCUUGAGACCCUUUUCCUCCUACUUGGUUUCCUCAUCCGACCUUGCUAAGACUGGGCAAGACUUGAGUCUUAUUUUAACUUGUUAGACCAUGUUUAAUUGAUAUAACUGGGAGGCCUGCUUUUUUCUUAAAGGGAAACUUUCAAAGGAGGAGUGGAGGAAGGGAAAACUGCAUUUGAGAUGUAAUGUAUGAGAGAAGAAUAAAAAAUUAGGAUAUACCAAAUUUAUAUAAAAAUAAUUUAUAUAUACAUAUAUGUACAAUUCAGUACCAUAAAAAUUUAGUUUAAAAAUCAAAUGACAAUCUGAGUAGACUUUUUAAAAGAAGCUAUGUAAAUGGCCAGUGAGUAUAAGAAGAGAAUCUUUCACAUUACCAGCAAAAUUGAGAACAAAACCACAACUAUAUUGGUGCUGGGGUUUCAACCCAAGUUCUCAUUAGUGCUUCUCACAUUUUCUACCACUGAACUAUAGCCCCAUCGUUCAAAAUAUGCUACUUGAGAAGCCUUUAUAUCAUGUACAAUGAGUGUAAUGAAAACAUUUCAGAUAAUAACAAGUCUUACUAAGAGUAUGGGAAAAAUACUACUGGUAGAAUUUAAAACAAUGAAACUUCAUCACAAAACAAAAUAGGUAAACAUAGCUGACCACAAACUACCAUAGAUUGCCAUUCUUAGUUAUAAAACUAAGGAGAAUGAAAAUACAAGCCCAUGUGAAAACACUUGCAUGACAGUUCAUACCUGCAGAAUUCCUAGUGUCUGUCAAUCAGUAACUUUAUCAAUAAAAGGUGACACAAAUACAACAAAGCAUCCACCUACAAAAGUAAGGAGGCACUAGUACAGGCUACCACAUGGAUGACCUCUGGAAAAAUUAUGUCAUGAAGAAGAAACAUGACACUGGUGACCACAGAACUGGUUCUAUCACAGGAAACAUCCAGAGCAGUACAUUUAUAGUGUUAAGAAGUGAGUUCAUGAUAGUCUGAUGCCAAAGAGCCAGUAGUAGUUGGGAAGUGAUCAUUGAAAAGCAUGGAGUUCUAGAAAAGGAGUGAUAAAAACAUUUUAAAAUGGAUUGCUCUGCUGGUUUCGCAGCUUUGUGAACACAUUAAAAUCUAUGCAAAAAUUUAAGGAUUUUUAAAAAAGAGAUGAGAGGUUUUAAACUUACAUUUUAAAAAUGUGUAUAAGUGUUUUGCAUUCAUGUAUGCCUGUGUGCCUUGUCCAUACCUGCUGCCUGCAGAGGUCAGAAAAGAGCAUUGAAGACUCUAGAACUGGAGUUUUUACACAGUUGUGAGCUGCUGCCAUGUGGGUGCUGGGAAUCAAACCUAGGUUCUCUGAAAGAACAAGUACUCUUCACUGCUGAGCCUUCUGUCCAGCCACAAUCUUUAUUCAUUUUUAUUUGUGUAUAAGAUUGUUUGCAUGCAUGUAUAGGCAACACGUGUAUAACUGAUGCUUGUGGAGGCUAGAAGAGAGCAUCAUAUCCCCUGGAACAGGUGGUUGUGAGGGGUGCUGGGAAUGAAACCUAGGUCCUUUGCAAGAGCAACCACCACUGUUAACUUCUGAACCAUAUCUAUAGCCCCUGAAAUUAUGCAUUUUAAAGAAGUGUUAUGAUAUGAGUUAUAGACUAAUUAAGUUACUUGAGAGUGUUAAUAUAUGCCAAUAUUAAACAGUCCAAUUUCCCCAACAAACUUAUAGCCCAUGAUUCAAACUAUCAAGUAGAGAAUGUUAUUAUACAUUUAAAAGUAGUUUAUAUGACAUAUUCUCCCCUGAACACUUGAGUAUCUCUUCAUAAUUUGCCCUUCCCCCAUUAUUUCCAGUAAAAGUAUGUUACUUUUGACAAUGUAAACCUUAUUUUUGCAUGAAAAUAACAAAUAAUAAUUUAAAUAUUUAGUUAAUAAACAAAUAAACUUUAUUAGGAAGUAUUUUCCACUUUUCAUAUAUAUAAUUAGAAUUUUCAGAUUAUAUAGUGAUGGGUGAUAUCACUCAUUGAUAAAAUAACUUAUGAAAUAAAGUGGGCACAAGUCCCUUCCGCUCGACUCGAGCCCCGGGCUACCUUGCCAGCAGAGUCUUGCCCAACACCCGCAAGGGCCCACACGGGACUCCCCACGGGAUCCUAAGACCUCUGGUGAGUGGAACAUAGCGCCUGCCCCAAUCCAAUCGCGCAGAACCUGAGACUGCAGUACAUAGGGAAGCAGGCUACCCAGGCUUGAUCUGGGGCACAAACCCCUUGCUCUCCACUCGAGCCCCGGGCUACCUUGCCAGCGGAGUCGCCUGACACCCGCAAGG
rnacentral:lncRNA from 1 species